AUCUUGCCCUGUCAUUACUAAUUGCUAUUAUACAACUACCGUUAUCUUUUUUUCAGAUUGCUUCUGGAGAAACUUUUUUUCGGGUUGGAUUGCUGGCGGAUGUCAGGAGGUAUAGGACGCCAGGUAGACCAAACUCUGGGUAGAUUGAGUGUGAAACAGGGGAGCGACGGUGAUUCAACCUCCCAAAUGUCAACCUUUUGCACACUUCCCUGUCCAAAUAGCCAAUCAGGAUCCAUUUAGGCAGCAGUGGCCUGGAACAGGAACUGACAGGCCUGGCAGAGGGGAUCUGCGCCACAUGUGAGCCAUGGAAGUCCUCAGCAGCGCUGGGUUGAAAUCCACACUGCGCUCUGCACAGACACUGCUGAUUACCACACUGCUGGUGCAGACGUGCAGGACAAGGUUGUCAGGUCUAAUUGACUAAUGGACAGAGAGUGAAGUCACCCCAGUGAUGAAGGUGAUGAAGAAAGUUUCAUUUCCUUCAGCCUUUGAUUAAUUUGUCAACACUGGUAUGCAGUCACAUUCAUCUUUUCCCCCCCUACAGUGAUAUUUUCUCUCUCAAAACAUCAAAUGAUUGGUUAUUUUUCCCUUUCUUGACAUAAAAUAAAUAUUUAUUUUAUAUAUAUAUAUAUAUAUAUAUAUAUAUAUAUAUAUAUAUAUAUUUGGGGGAUAUUCUUUAUGUUUUUAAAAUGGAAAUGGUGACCAGUACUCACAGAUAAGUGCACAUUAACAAAAACCAGUCCCUUCUGCGCAAGAUAAAUGCAUCGUUACUUGGCAACCAGCUCUGUUAUUUUGUUCUUCAUUAUUUUUAUUUAUCCUAUGUAAACCUCAGCCCUUGUACCAUGGCUCUGUCGCCGGAUCAUCUUUCAGGAGGCCUGCAAUUUCACUGUCCCGCCUCCACGCUCGGAUUAGUUUGGUUUAUACAAACGGGCUCUGGGCUUUGUGAAACCAUUCAGACCACAAUCAUUGUUGAGGCCCCAAUCAGAACUUCUAGCUCCGACUUCUCUCGCCUCUCUGUUUUUGCACUGGGACUAUUUCAAAAUAUAACAAUAUCAUGCAUUAUGCAAUUUUUUUUUAUUGCAAUUACAAUCACUUUAUGAUAGCGCUGACAGAAAUUGUCACUGUUUUGAUCUCAAAAUUAUAUUUGUCUAUACUUGAUUUCAAAUGUUUGAUGCCCAAUGUAGAAAAAUAUUAUUCCUUAUACACUGCUACUGAUAAUAUUACAGUUCCGCAGUUACUGCACCUGCCUGUUGUGAUUUGUUCAUUGUACAACAACAUAUGAUGCAUUUAAUAAAACUUAAAUUAAAAAAAAAAAA